UUAAGUGAAUAAGGGCGCACGGUGGAUGCCUUGGCACUAGGAGCCGAUGAAGGACGGGACUAACACCGAUAUGCUUUGGGGAGCUGUACGUAAGCUAUGAUCCAGAGAUUUCCGAAUGGGGGAACCCAACAUCUUUAAUAGGAUGUUACGAUUGUGUGAAUACAUAGCACAUUCGAGGUAGACGCAGAGAACUGAAACAUCUAAGUACCUGCAGGAAGAGAAAGAAAAUUCGAUUCCCUGAGUAGCGGCGAGCGAAACGGGAAAAGCCCAAACCAGCAAGCUUGCUUGUUGGGGUUGUAGGACUCCAAUAUGGUAGUUCUUUCAGAUAGUCGAAUGACUUGGAAAAGUCAGUCAAAGAGGGUAAAAACCCCGUAGACGAAAUGUGGAAGACACCUAGGAGGAUCCUGAGUACGGCGGAACACGAGAAAUUCCGUCGGAAUCCGGGAGGACCAUCUCCCAAGGCUAAAUACUCCCUAGUGACCGAUAGUGAACCAGUACCGUGAGGGAAAGGUGAAAAGCACCCCGGAAGGGGAGUGAAAUAGAACCUGAAACCGUGUGCCUACAACAAGUCAAAGCCCGUUAAUGGGUGAUGGCGUGCCUUUUGUAGAAUGAACCGGCGAGUUACGAUUGCAUGCGAGGUUAAGUUGAAGAGACGGAGCCGCAGCGAAAGCGAGUCUGAAUAGGGCGUUUGAGUAUGUAGUCGUAGACCCGAAACCAUGUGAUCUACCCAUGUCCAGGUUGAAGGUGCGGUAAAACGCACUGGAGGACCGAACCCACGUACGUUGAAAAGUGCGGGGAUGAGGUGUGGGUAGCGGAGAAAUUCCAAACGAACUUGGAGAUAGCUGGUUCUCUCCGAAAUAGCUUUAGGGCUAGCCUCGGAAUUGAGAAUGAUGGAGGUAGAGCACUGUUUGGACUAGGGGCCCAUCUCGGGUUACCGAAUUCAGAUAAACUCCGAAUGCCAUUCAUUCAUAUCCGGGAGUCAGACUGUGAGUGAUAAGAUCCAUAGUCGAAAGGGAAACAGCCCAGACCACCAGCUAAGGUCCCAAAAUAUAUGUUAAGUGGAAAAGGAUGUGGGGUUGCACAGACAACUAGGAUGUUGGCUUAGAAGCAGCCACCAUUUAAAGAGUGCGUAAUAGCUCACUAGUCGAGUGACCCUGCGCCGAAAAUGUACCGGGGCUAAACAUAUUACCGAAGCUGUGGAGUACACCUUUAGGUGUAUUGGUAGGAGAGCGUUCUAAGGGCGUUGAAGGCAGAUCGUGAGGACUGCUGGAGCGCUUAGAAGUGAGAAUGCCGGUAUGAGUAGCGAAAGACAGGUGAGAAUCCUGUCCACCGAAUGACUAAGGUUUCCUGGGGAAGGCUCGUCCGCCCAGGGUUAGUCGGGACCUAAGCCGAGGCCGACAGGCGUAGGCGAUGGAUAACAGGUUGAUAUUCCUGUACCCGUUGUUUUUGUUUGAGCAAUGGAGGGACGCAGGAGGCUAAGGAAUGCAGACGAUCGGAAAUGUCUGUCCAAGCAGUAAGUCUGAAGAGGAGUCAAAUGCUUCUUUUCUUAAGGACAAGCUGUGAUGGGGAGGGAAAUAAUAGUACCGAAGUUCCUGAUGUCACACUGCCGAGAAAAGCUUCUAGUGAGAAAACAGCGGCCCGUACCGCAAACCGACACAGGUAGUCGAGGAGAGAAUCCUAAGGUGAGCGAGAGAACUCUCGUUAAGGAACUCGGCAAAAUGACCCCGUAACUUCGGGAGAAGGGGUGCUGAUCAUACGAUCAGCCGCAGUGAAUAGGCCCAAGCGACUGUUUAUCAAAAACACAGGUCUCUGCAAAAUCGUAAGAUGAAGUAUAGGGGCUGACGCCUGCCCGGUGCUGGAAGGUUAAGAGGAGUGCUUAGCGCAAGCGAAGGUACGAAUUGAAGCCCCAGUAAACGGCGGCCGUAACUAUAACGGUCCUAAGGUAGCGAAAUUCCUUGUCGGGUAAGUUCCGACCCGCACGAAAGGCGUAACGAUUUGGGCACUGUCUCAACGAGAGACUCGGUGAAAUUUUAGUACCUGUGAAGAUGCAGGUUACCCGCGACAGGACGGAAAGACCCCAUGGAGCUUUACUGUAGUUUGAUAUUGAGUGUCUGUACCGCAUGUACAGGAUAGGUAGGAGCCGUAGAAAUCGGAACGCUAGUUUCGAUGGAGGCGCUGGUGGGAUACUACCCCUGCGUUAUGGCCACUCUAACCCGCACCACUAAUCGUGGUGGGAGACAGUGUCAGAUGGGCAGUUUGACUGGGGCGGUCGCCUCCUAAAAGGGAACGGAGGCGCCCAAAGGUUCCCUCAGAAUGGUUGGAAAUCAUUCGAAGAGUGUAAAGGCAGAAGGGAGCUUGACUGCGAGACCAACAAGUCGAGCAGGGACGAAAGUCGGGCUUAGUGAUCCGGUGGUUCCGCAUGGAAGGGCCAUCGCUCAACGGAUAAAAGCUACCCUGGGGAUAACAGGCUUAUCUCCCCCAAGAGUCCACAUCGACGGGGAGGUUUGGCACCUCGAUGUCGGCUCGUCGCAUCCUGGGGCUGUAGUCGGUCCCAA
rnacentral:rRNA from 1 species